UAAAAAACCUUGAAAGGGAACAGUAAGUAUAAGAGAUGUCCAAAAGAGAGCGGGGGUAGCUGAAAACCUGUGGAUAAUUGUAUGCCGAAUCUCACCCUGGAGUUGUAGACUGAAUUAAGUAGGUUGCGCCGGUUAAAACCGUUAUAUAAAUCAAGAAAUAAAUUGGGUGGUACCGCGAAACAGUCUCCUCGCCCCAGGG
rnacentral:ncRNA from 1 species